UCCGCAUAUCAUGGGGAGAUAGACGCUG
rnacentral:piRNA from 1 species